ensembl:snRNA U12 U12 minor spliceosomal RNA
AUGACUUAAGCUUAUGAGUAAGGAAAAUACCAAUUCAGGGUGAUGUCUGAAUCCUCACUGCUAAUGUGAGAUGAAUUUGUGAGUGGAUACAGGUGCCCCUAAGGUGACCUGCCUACUUGCCAGUAUGCCUAGGAGUCGCGAUUUGCCCA